rnacentral:misc_RNA from 1 species
CUAAAUAUCAACAAACUCGAUCCGAUCUGCGAGUCCAUUUCCCCUCCCGAAAACAAAAUAAAGAAGGAGAGAGAGAGAGAGAGAAAGAGAAAGAAAAAGGGAAGAAACGUUCGAACUCGUCCUUUUCGUCUUUGGAAACAAAGGACUCCGAAGUGAAGCAUGGUAGUCAAGAACGAGAAUACGAGAAAUGGGCAUGAGCUGGCUCCGUUGAACGAGGAACGUCAGGCAGGGCAGAACGUGACAAUCGUGGUAACCGGGAAUCAAAAUGCUGCUGGCAGUCAAGAAACCAAGGAGGAGAAUAGGGCGGAAUGGAGCGGGAAGAUGCAAUUUUUCCUCAGUAUUAUCGGUUACAGCGUGGGACUUGGGAAUAUAUGGAGAUUCCCUUACCUGUGCCAACAGAACGGAGGAGGUGCCUUUCUCAUCCCCUUUUUCGUGAUGCUAAUCCUAGAGGGUGUACCCCUCUUUUUAAUCGAGCUGGGUCUCGGUCAACGUAUGCGACAGGGCGCCCUUGGUGUAUGGAACACGAUACAUCCAUGGUUAGGCGGUAUAGGGAUAGCAUCGUGCAUCGUCACCUUCUUCGUAGCACUUUAUUACAACGUCAUCAUUACCUGGUGCUUCUAUUAUCUUUUCAAUUCACUGGAGGCCGUCACGAUUAAAGCUGGCGAACCGUUACCAUGGGCGAAAUGUCCGGAGGUUGAUGGGAAGCCGGUAGAGGAAUGCGUGAAGAGUUCGGAAACUGCCUAUUUUUGGUACAGAACCACUCUGGACGCGGCACCCUCGAUCGAGGAAGGAUCGAGCGGUCUGAAAUGGUGGAUCGUCCUUUGUCUACUGUUGAGUUGGAUCGUCGUCUUUUUUAUCGUGAUGAAAGGAAUACAAUCAUCGGGGAAGGUGGUAUAUUUUACAUCCAUGUUCCCGUAUUUGGUGCUUACUAUCUUUUUUAUUCGUGGAAUAACGUUAAAAGGUGCCAGCGCUGGAUUGGCCCACAUGUACACGCCAAAGAUCGAGAAGCUGUUAGAGCCGACGGUCUGGCUCGACGCAGCGACGCAAGUUUUUUAUAGUUUCGGACUAGCGUUCGGCUCCCUGAUCGCGUUCGGAUCUUACAACACUCCAGACAACCACUGCGUCCGGGACGUGAUUCUGGUUAGCUGUUGCAACGCCUUCACCGCAAUUUACGCGAGUAUAGUGAUAUUCGCCAUUCUAGGCUUUAAGGCGAUGACAAAUGUCGAUAAGUGCCUCGCAGGUAAUAAAGACUUACUCGUUGAACACGGAUUUGCCUAUCAAAACACCACCAUGGAGAGAUACAAAGAUAUUGUAAAUAAUCUCAAUGUAACAAAAAUGAAUUUCACCCUUGAAACAUGUAGCCUGAGCGAACAAUUGGACAACGCUGCCGAAGGAACGGGAUUAGCUUUCAUAGUGUUUACGCAGGCGAUAGUCGAGCUACCAGGCGCUCCUUUCUGGUCCUGUAUUUUCUUUCUGAUGCUUCUAGCCCUCGGUCUCGGUUCCCAAAUCGGUAUACUAGAGGGCAUGCUGUGCGUCAUCUUCGACAUAGAUCUGUUCAAGAGAAUAAAAAAGCAAUACAUGACAGGGGUAGUUUGCACGGUGUGCUUCUUUGUUGGUUUAAUAUUCUGUACCGGAGCCGGAGAAUAUUGGCUAAAGAUGUUCGACAGUUUCGCAGGUACCAUCGGUCUCGUGAUGGUCGCGCUCAUGGAAAUGAUUUCCGUCAUCUUUGUUUAUGGUCACGAAAAAUUCACGAAAGAUAUCGAGGAGAUGACAGGAUACAGACCAGGAGUGUAUUGGCAAUUCACCUGGCGAUUUCUCGCUCCCAUAAUCAUGGUCUGCAUCCUUGUCUCCAGUAUAAUCUCCAUGGUUGUGAAGAAGCCUCAAUAUUCCGCGUGGGAUGCGUCACGGGGCAUAGCUGUACCCACCGCGUAUCCCGGCUGGGUGUUGGCUAUAGCGGUCGUCAUCAUUUUUGCGGGCAUCGCGCCAAUACCGAUUGUAUUCCUUUUGAGGCGGUUCCAAUGCGUCAAGUUGGACGUUGACAUUCACCAAGGCAGCAUACGACGUAUCGAUACCACCGUUUCUACAAAAGAAAUGAUGGGAGAUGUCGAUUUAUAGGAAAGCGUCCGUUCUGUGUGCGGUAACGUCGAUUAAUCGCUUCUUCCAUAGCUACCUUACACUUGGACGAGUAUCACGAUCGCCUCGAAGAUUUUCCCGAGGAGGACGAAGACGUGAACAGCGAUGACGACAACAACAGUGCCCCGCCGAUAACGAAGAUCGUCCCUAACAAACUUCAGGGUAAACCGUUCAAAAUGGAAGUGAUGGACUUUUAAAAGUUGUCAGAUUCGUCGACUUUUGUCGUAUCGUUUUCACCUUACGUGACGACAGAACAUGGAAAGAGGGUUGAUCGAACAUUCUCAUCCCUUUCGAAUUUCGAUUCUCAGGAAACGCGUAAGACGAUACGAAAUAAUUGCAGGUACGAAUCGACGAAUGAAAGAGAGAGAGAGAGAGAGAGAGAGAGAGAGAGAGAGAGAGAGAGAG